rnacentral:lncRNA from 1 species
CAUAAAUAAAUAUUGAGUUAAUUUUUGAAAGAUUAAAAGGUUGAAUACAUAAUUAUUAAUGGUUAUUAGACUUUUAAUUCAAUAAGUUACAUAAUUGAUUAGCAUAAAUAAAUAUUGAGUUAAUUUUUGAAAGAUUAAAAGGUUGAAUACAUAAUUAUUAAUGGUUAUUAGACUUUUAAUUCAAUAAGUUACAUAAUCCAAGCACACAUUUGUCUUAAAAAUAAACCAAUGUAAUUACAGUAAAAUUUGUCUUCCUAAUUCUAAAUGACCAAGACCAAAAUCAUGGACGGGAUAAACACUCCUUUGGACCUAGGGGCAAAAACAUGCUGUCUUGAAGCUUGGAGCAGCCACUUUUCCAUUCCAUCAUGUCAUCUCAGAGCUAUAAUCUGCAGAGAAAAAUAGCUUAUUUAAAAAAGCACUUUUUAAAAGCACUUAAAAAACUAAAGAAUAACUAAACAAAUUACUCAGUUUGAAACUUUACCCAACAGGUUAACUUGAACAUCCAAAAAGGCAUUGCAAUAAUAACUCAAAACAGAACAAAUCCACAGAAAUUAAAUCCCACACAAUCUGGGAUGGGAAAAUCGAAAAAAGAGAGGAGUUCUUAAAAAACUGAUAAAAAUUCUUCAUAAAAGGUUCAUGAGGCGUUAAGAACAACACAACACAGUAAGAAAUUAUUUUCUAAAAAAAAAAAAACCAAAACAACAACAGCAACAACACAGAGAUUUUUUCUAAAACCCUAAAGAACAACAACAGCAAGAACAAAUCAAUUUUUUCUAAGAGCCCUAAAAAGUUAACAGCAAGAGGAUACACAACAAAGAUAUUUUUCUCAAAACCCUAAACCAGUACACAACAGAAAACGCACAGCAAGAACAACAACAGAGAGCAAUAUUUUUAAAAAGCCCUAAAAAAAAGAGUUCACAGGAAGAACACACACAUCGAGAUCCAGAGUAAUCAUACGUUACCAAGGGUAAA